GCCUGGCUGGCAGCUCUCCGGGCUCCACCCCCCUCCUCCAGUAUUACCUAUUUAAUUACUUUCUUCCCAAAGUAAUCUCUCUGUUUACUUUUCUUGCGUAGCGCAAACGCCCGCCCUGCAUCCGCGAUCCCUCUCCUCUGCCGGGUGCCUUCCCCCCAGCCCAUCCGCUGAUGUUUGGUCCCCUCUCGCUAGGCUGGCUGUCACCACCGCCCUUCUGGCGGGCGCCCUUUCACUUACCUUCCAUCUGGGGUGGUUUUCGCUUUGAUUUUGCACCUUCUUUUACAUCGCCAGGCACCGGUGGGCAUCUGUCUCCUCUUCGCCAUCCUGCACGCCUGUCCCUCCCGCCCGGCUGCCCGCAGCGAUCUCCUCCCGUAGCCGUGUUUUUCAUCACUGAGGUCUUGACGUGCCCUUUUCCUCUGCCGCCAGUCCCCGUGUUACCUGAAGCCUGCUCAGGGAGCAGAAUGCGCUCUUCCGAGGCUGUCUGAGUAUUUGUAACCCUGCCCCUCAGGGCAGAGCUCCACAAUUUGAGACCUUCACAGAUCACGAAGCCCUCUUUGCAGGGUCUGCACCUGUAUUGCAUAGCAGAGUGCAGGGAAAGAUUCUUGGGAGAAAACACCUGGCUUUCCCAUCAGUGCCACACGUGCUCAUUGAGGGAUGCAAAGGAGGAGCAGCUGUACUGCUCUGUGGUCCUGCCUCCAUCAACACCACAGUCAAACCAAACAGGCCUUCUGACACCAUCAGAAACACUACUGACCUGGCCAUCUCAUCCUGUAUUUUAAUGCCUUUUAAGCCAAUUCUUCUCUGUAACAUCCUCAAUAAACUCCUCCCUUUGCUCUUGCUU